CACGUGGCGCGCCCAGAGGAGAGGAAUCAGCACUUUCAGAGCUGUUACUGUAGCUGCAGUACCAGUCAUUGCAACCUACCAAGAAUAAAUAGCAGCCAGAGAUCCUCAAAGCAGUACAUUGCUUUGCUUCCAGGUGGUUGCUCCUGUCUGCAUCUCCAAGCUCGGGGCAUACCGGCCAUCAGUGGCGGACUGGCCAUCGGGACGUUCGGGACGAAUCCCGAUGGGCCGACUUCGGUACCGGCAGGGGCGGACUGACCAUCUGUAGAAUCACCGAACGGCCGGGUCGGUUCGCUGUUUUUAAACGGCAUCAUUGAAGUUAAGCUGACAGGCGACAGAGGUCCACCGUUUCCCAGUCCGGCCCUGCCAGCCAUCAUCUACUCUAGGGAGUUCUCCCCUGACAGCUGGACACUACAUGAUAGCAGAGGACCAGACCAUCGUAAGUGGCAGUGUCCUGAAUGUUGUCGACGCCCUGAUACUGAUGUUUGCAGCAUAUUACUGCCUCAACAUCAGUUAUCGCUCAGAACUGGGAGCUACCCUGCAGAGGUGCCUAUUCAAGAUCAAUCCGGACAAGGGGACUAGAGUGGAGAGGAAGGAAUACAAACAAAAACAGCACUCGAUAAAGAUAAAGAUUUCAUGAAGUUUGCUGACGACACGACCGCCAUCGG